CUUGACCUCAAAUCAGGUAGGACUACCCGCUGA
rnacentral:rRNA from 2 species